UAAGUAUUAUCUAAUUAUGAUAACAUUUUUCUAUUGCACCCCCCCUAGUUUUGUCAUAUAACGCCAUGCAGGUGUUUUUCCCUUCUUUACCCUGUUAGCCAGCCAAACACUAUUUCACACGGUUUUAAAGAAACGUGUAAGACUAUUUGAUAGCAAGACUUCACAAAGGUAAAAGAAUUUGUGUUUUGCUGAAGCGAUGAUUAAAAAAAAAAAAGCUUAUUUGAAAACUGUUACGGGGAUAUCUUCAGCUAGAAAAAAAAGAGGUGCAGACAGCAAGCUGCACCCCUUACGGGAAGAAACGAGCAGCACACGAUUCAAAGAUCUAUAUUUACAAAGUGCUUGUGAAACCUAUAAAUAACCGAGCUUAGAGCCUGCUAGAUAGCACACCUCUUAUUCGAGGGGAAAAUCAGUGCUUUGAGAGGUGGAAUACUUCAGGAUUUGUUGUGAGCCAACGUUCACAGAUUGCUGCUCAGCUCACAGCACCCAAACCAAGGAACUCGGCUGCAGGCAGCGUCCUUUCUCCAGGCUGUGUCCUUAAGGCAGGGAGCCCCUCAGCUCUGCCUUACCUUGGGAAGAACUUCGCGGAGCCUCCUCGGGCUGGCGCCUGCUCUCUCCGAGCGCGGCGGCAGAGUAAUUCCUGCCGAGACUUGGCCUGGAGACCCUCUCCUUUUCAGCUAACACCGAAAAUAUUUGAUUAGCGAGCUUUAAGUCAGGGCGGCCGCAGUUUUCAAUGUGCGCAAAGCUUCCUCAGCGUGCGCGCAGUCGUUACAACCCACUGGACAUUAAGAAACCUAUUUCAGGGAAGAAAAAGCAGAAGAGACAAAGGUGUUUCACAGAAGCCAGGCCCAGGACAUCACAGUCUUCUCUGCUGAAGGCAAGAAUUCCUGCAGGACUUGAAAGAAACCAAGAGCAGCAUUUUUCUUUGGUCUGACUUGAAUUGAUUUAAAAUUUGUUGCAUAUAUGCACAAACAAAAAUGCCAGCUAAGCAAAAUCUUUUCUCCUAAAGGUUGGGAGGAAAAAAGGAGGGAGAUUGUUCUUCUCUUAAUACAUGUUUGAGUGUCCAGUGUGGAAGGAUGCCUCAAAAUUUUCACAGUUCAACUGAACCAGUUAUAGAGUUUGAGGAACCACAGCACAGACGAGUUCCUCAGUCAAGUAUAUUUCUUCAACAUUUUACCUGCACAUUUGGAAAGCAAGUCUAACUGUGGUGGAGAUUGCUGCACAGCCUCCCUAUGCAGUGCCUUCCACUGCCAACUAUCCUCAAGCCAGAAAUACUUCCUAAAGUCUAACAUAAUCUCCUUUGCUGCAGUGUAGGACAAGAGGUAAAGAGCUUAUCUCAGCGGUUACAGGAAACAACAAUCUUUACUGUAUUUGACAGCAUAAUCUAUCCCCUCCAUUUUCUCAAAGACUAAAGAGUUAGUUUAAUCUUUCUUCAUGGUUCAUGUAAGAUUCUGGCCCUUCAUAUCUUGCAAAUGUAGUAAGUGCAUUCGUUGUUCCAUCAGCCAAGUCAUUAGUUAAAGUAUAGCAUAUUAUCAGAACCAGUACGAUCCUCUGAGAUGACAUGCUUUAACAACUGGCCAUUCAAAACCAUGUUUUGAGUAUGGUUUUUAUAUUAGUCAUGUACUGUCUUGCAAGUAGUUCAUGCAAGACAGUGUUUCCCUCACUUUUUAAUGACAUCAUAGGAGGGAAUUUCAAAAGCUGUCUAUAUCACGUAUGUUGCUUCUUUUGCAUUUGUCUUGGAAUGACUCAAAUGGUUUGCUCAAAUCACAUAAUCUGUUGCAGAAUCAAAACCUCAAACCAGUUCAUAGUCCUCUCCUCUGUUAGACUUGUCAACAUAAUAAAUCAGUAUGAGAAAUAAGGGCUUCAAAUGGUGUCUAAAAAGUGAAUAUUCAUUAAAGACUUGUAUUGCUUAAUUAUAAGUGCACGGCAUGUAUCUAUACACAACCUGCAGAACUCACUCACUGACACAAUAUAACAAGAAAGGCAAAUUCUUAGCUGUGUUCAAAACAAAACAAAACUAUAUGACUACACAGAACCCACCCUCAUUAGGGAAAAAUACAAAUGAAUAAAGAAUAUCUGUUCUUAUUUUAACCAGGAAUACAAAGCAACUAUUAAUUAACAAGGAUUAACUUCCCCUUUGAGCACGCUAGUUCAAAAUUGUCCACUUUGACCAUAGGGACUGAUCCUGCAAACAAGUUGCUGAACUAGUCAGAUUCUGCUGCUGCCUAUAAAAUAAAUAAUUUUUCUAGGUUUUUUGAAGGUGCUUAUAAGUGCAAUUCAAUACUAAACGGAAGAAACAAAAGACUGAAAUGGCCUUACCAACUUAUGUAAGGACUGACAUGUGGUCUCGUUUAUCUUUAGAAGCAAGCCAGGGACAGAUCCUGAGUGCAAUUAAAAAUAGUACACCAUGUUCAUCCCUAGCUGGAAAAUGGCAGAGAUGCCAAAACUGAACUCAGAAAUCAGAAAAUAAAAAUACAAAAUGCAUUUUCACCUGAAACUUGACACCCUGAAAGCCAAACUUUGUAAUCCUGAUAAAUCUAUUUGUAAAGCUCAAGAAUCCUUUUACCUGAGGAGAUUUCAAAAAUAUCUCCACUAAAUACUCCAGCUAGUAACAGUGGAAAACAUAGGGUAAGGAUUGAGGAAUUGUGUGUUUUAUUCACAGUUCUGUUUUGGAUCAGGACACCCUCACUGUGCUUUGAUUUAUCCAUCUAAACUGAAAUUCCUGAGACUUCUUUCUCCUUCCCCAUAACAUGUGGCCCUAUUAUAACAUUCAGAAAACAAGUGUUUCAGAAGUCUUCAUUUUUUUCAGACUAAAAUUUCUAUAAACAUUCAAAAUGUAGUUUUACAGGACAGAUUUUUUCAUUAUUUUUGCUCAAUGACACAGAGAUUCAGAAACCGACUCGAACGAAGGCUGCCAGUUAUUGCCAUGUUCUGAGGAGUAAAACCGGUCUUAAAGGAAAGCUUUUGAAGUUGCCAACCAUUUCCCUACACCACAGAAAAGCCGUUUUAUUCUUCUUCUGUCCAGCAUUUUCUAGUUUGUAUGGACAUCACUCUACCAGGCAUAGGAAUGACCCCAGUGGCCUUUUCUCCUUGUGUCCUGAGCUGACUUGCCCAUGGCAGCAAUGCUUUGUGAGCUUGGUGCAGCAGAUCGGAGAGGGUUUUCUGAAAUCCUUUCUUCAGUCCCAUAGAUGGUAAAAAAGCUGAUGUGGUAUGGAAACCAGAACAGUUUCAGUUCUAAAAAAGAGAAGGAUUACUCUGCUAUGCCUCUAACAGACGGAAGCAAAGUGGCCUCCAAAGUGCCAGCCGUUCCCAAGACUCUUGUCUCCAUGAAUAUUUACGUACAUUGAGUUGGGAUGUACCCACACUCACCAUGGCAGGAAAAGCUUUCCCCCACCUCACUAAAAUAGUCAAAACAAGGAUUUACCCAGAGGAGUGUGAAGAACAAAUCCCCCAACUAGCAGCGUGCCAUACCCGUGUGUCAUCUGGCUGGGCAGCAACCCAACAAGCUUCUCCCCCUUUCCAGCCAGCCUGGGGCUUAGUCCGUCCACUCCUGGCUCACAGACUGAACCUCAUGGCUGGGGGAGCAGGGAGACUUUCGAUUCUGAACCAAGGUAAACAAACAGCAUAGGGCAUAUUUUGCAAAAGCUUCUAAGGGUAUUUAGGCAUUUUUAACCAAAAAGUUGCGGAAAGCAGAGAAGAGGAUUUGUUGUAGCUCAGGUGGAAAUACAAAAACGGAAGGCUGGUUGUGUUUGUCUAUGUCGGUUCACUAAACUCGCUAUUUAAGUCGCUAUUCUUUUUUUCCUGGGUGCUACUUCUCUUCUUAUACUCUUUUUUUUUUUUUUUCCUCAUAAUCAACAUCUGCAAAACAAUCAAAGCUCUGAGAGAAAUGUUUAGCAUUGAACUAUGCUAGGAAGGAAAACCAGAACUGGCUUUAAGGCAGGACUGGAAGGACUGUCUGGGUCCCUGAGUCAAGUCCUCAGUUUUAUCCUUUUCAUGUGUUUAUCAAGUGACUUCUUUUAACAGCAAAAUCUUCCAAUGUAGAAGACUGGAAAACCAAAAGAAAAUCAAGAGAAAAUAAGCAGGAAGGACCAAGAAAUGAAAUAACUUGUAUUUGAUAGAUUCCUACCAUCUCCUGCACUGCAUUGUCUUGUUAAACACCCAUUGAUGGUAACAGCAGAAACCUGUUUAGUUACACAGAAUGACAAUAUUUUUGUCCCUUUGCAAUUUAUAUUUGUCCAAAACAAAGAGAACGUGGAUGCAAAAUACACCAUUAGUAGUGAUCACCAGUGGAGCUGAACAUCUAGAGAAACUUCUGAAAAUUAUUUUUGCAGAUGAGACCUCUCAAAUUCCUGUCUUCCAUAUAUGUCUGUAAAAACAAAGGACGUCCUUUGCCCUUGUUUGUCAAUGAUGCUAAGGAUGUCCAUCAUGAAAGAUCUGAAAAAGCACAAGAAAUGAUAAACUUAAACCAUUCAUUGCAAAUGUGAAAUACUGUUUUACACACUUCAAACAUCUAUCCUUUUUUGAUGACCUUUUAGAAACCUACUGUGUACAAACAGCAUUUCUACAUGCUACCAGGCACAUGACACCUGAUAAAAAUAGUUGCUUGUGUUAGCAAAGGUGUGAAUAUCUCAAAGUAUUACUUAUCAUGUCUUGAAGCUAUCUUCAUUUGGAUUAAUGAUCUGUGAUGAGACUCCAUAUAGGUUUUAGAAGGUCUGCAGGGUCUGCAGAAUUAUUCCUCAAAUACAAAGGUGAAAUAAUUAGUGCUUUAUAGUAUAGAGAUCACUGGAGCUCCAGCAAUACUUUGCAGGCCCUUACUCAUUAUUAUGAGAUUCUAAGAGUUUGCUAUAAAACUUCAUUUGCUGCAGUGGGCUUAAUUACAUUUAAAAAUCUAAUAAAUGGUGAUGACCACCCCCGCAUCUUACAGUGGAAACAGUUACAUAGCAGAGGAGAGACAAUACAAAUACAAAUCCUUACAGAAAGAAAAUCUUUUUAAUUCCACAAAAUAUACACAUUUAUUUGUUCCCUCUAUUAUGUUGUACACAUCAGCUGCCUAUUAACCAGUUACUCAGUUGGCACCCUAUUUGAACUUGCUUGUUUGCUAAACCUUGCAUUAAAGGGCCAGAAGAUCACUCAGAUAGCCCAGGAGGCUCCUUGUAGGUUAGAUUUGCUCAUUCAACUGAAUUUGGCAGAAAGACAGGAUAGUAAGAAAGUACAAGAUAUCAGUUCUAGUUUCAAAUAGCAGGUCACAGGUGGCAGGCAUUUUGUAUACAGCAGGACUGUCACAACUGUCAGCAUCCCCCAAGAGCAAAGCAGAGUUAAACAACAUUUCCUCAGUCCUUAGCCUUAGCUGACAUCACUGACGCUUUGUUGGAGAUGGGGAACAGCAUUUGCUGCUGUAUUCCUCCUCCCAAGGUCCCUCUUCUUUCUUGUCUGCUUUAAAGCAGAAGGCAGCUUCUAAUGUCUUGGAAGAAAAGGAUUUUUGCAGAGAUCCUGUAGCCAGUCCUUAGUGAGAUGAAGGACAAAGAAGUGAUGGUGAUGGCUUUCACGGCCCUUCUCUAAUAACUGAGCUUUUGCAGCCUCCCACCAGUGUGCUGCUCACGUUGUGCAUUCAAGAUACCAACAUAAACACAAACAGAAGAGCUGAAUUACAAUGUAAGGCUGCCUUAAAAUUUACAGCAAAAGGUCUCCAUUCAUGCUACCACAGAUAUGGCAGUCAGCAAGAAAACUGUAACAAGCUCCUUAAGCGGUGACUCCCGGUAGCAGUCACAAGCUAUAGCUCUCCCCUCCCUGCCUUCCUCCACGUUCAGGUGGAUGGAGGCAGCCUGUGGGGUCUGAGUUUCAGGUCUGAGUGAUUAUUUUAACGAUGACCUUAGAAGAUCCCUGUCAUUAGGAGUCUUCUCGGGGCGGGCCGUCGCUGUAAUAGGAUCGGGCAGCGCGUUUCUUCACGCCAAGUCACCGAAUGUUAAAAUGAUUUGUCAUCUCUCACUGCAGGCCGCUGCCUGACACACACAUGCCACAGUCUCGUGUCUCGCCUGCCUUGACAUCAAAGCGUCUUCCUUCUGCGAUUGCCAGUGGGAAGAAAGGCAAACAAUGACAGUGGCUGAUUUGCUUUCAGAGAGAGUCCUAAUUAAAUAAGUGCUCUCAGAUAGCUUUGUACCUUAUAAUGGGGUGAAGGCAGGGGAAAAAACCUUUCAUCAUAAAAUGUAUUAAAUCCAUAAAUCUUG